CGGUGUUUAACUGGCGUGAUGUGGGACGUCCUACCGGUGGGCUUAGCCUCGCGAGGGGCGGCCCAACUAAUAUCCCGUCGCGGUGCUCUUUACUGAGUGUCGAGUCGGGCCGGUACGUUUACUUUGAACAAAUUAGAGUGCUUAAAGCAGGCUAUCCUCGCCUGAAUACUGCGUGCAUGGAAUAAUGGAAUAGGACCUCGGUUCUAUUUUGUUGGUUUUCGGAACCCCGAGGUAAUGAUUAAUAGGGACAGAUGGGGGCAUUCGUAUUGCGACGUUAGAGGUGAAAUUCUUGGAUCGUCGCAAGACGGACAGAAGCGAAAGCAUUUGCCAAAAAUGUUUUCAUUAAUCAAGAACGAAAGUUAGAGGUUCGAAGGCGAUCAGAUACCGCCCUAGUUCUAACCAUAAACGAUGCCAGCUAGCGAUCCGCCGAAGUUCCUCCGAUGACUCGGCGGGCAGCUUUCCGGGAAACCAAAGCUUUUGGGUUCCGGGGGAAGUAUGGUUGCAAAGCUGAAACUUAAAGGAAUUGAGGGAAGGGCACCACCAGGAGUGGAGCCUGCGGCUUAAUUUGACUCAACACGGGAAACCUCACCAGGCCCAGACACCGGAAGGAUUGACAGAUUGAUAGCUCUUUUUUGAUUCGGUGGGUGGUGGUGCAUGGCCGUUUUUAGUUGGUGGAGCGAUUUGUCUGGUUAAUUCUGAUAACGAACGAGACUCUAGCCUGCUAAAUAGGCGUACCUUAUGGUAUCGCGAAGGCCCCCGGCUUCGGCCGGUGGGUUUUUACUACCAACGUACAAACAAAUCUUUUUAGAGGGACAGGCGG
rnacentral:rRNA from 1 species